rnacentral:tRNA from 1 species
GGUAACUUGCCCAAGUGGUCUUGGGGGUGGAUUUAAGAUCCGCUAGACAUGCCAGUCUGUGUAGGUUUGAAUCCCACAGAUACGA